rnacentral:rRNA from 1 species
GUAGGGAAUCUUGCGCAAUGGGCGAAAGCCUGACGCAGCGACACCGCGUGAGGGAUGACGGCCUUCGGGUUGUAAACCUCUUUCGGCAGGGACGAAGCGAUCGUGACGGUACCUGCAGAAGAAGCUCCGGCUAACUACGUGCCAGCAGCCGCGGUAAGACGUAGGGAGCGAGCGUUGUCCGGAUUCAUUGGGCGUAAAGAGCGCGCAGGCGGUUUGGUAAGUCGGAUGUGAAAACCCGGGGCUCAACCCCGGGCGUGCAUCCGAUACUGCCCGACUAGAGGUAGGUAGGGGAGAUCGGAAUUCCUGGUGUAGCGGUGAAAUGCGCAGAUAUCAGGAGGAACACCGGUGGCGAAGGCGGAUCUCUGGGCCUUACCUGACGCUCAGGCGCGAAAGCUAGGGGAGCGAACAGGAUUAGAAACCCGGGUAGUCC